AUUGAACGCUGGCGGCAGGCCUAACACAUGCAAGUCGAACGGUAACAGGAAGCAGCUUGCUGCUUUGCUGACGAGUGGCGGACGGGUGAGUAAUGUCUGGGAAACUGCCUGAUGGAGGGGGAUAACUACUGGAAACGGUAGCUAAUACCGCAUAACGUCGCAAGACCAAAGAGGGGGACCUUAGGGCCUCUUGCCAUCGGAUGUGCCCAGAUGGGAUUAGCUAGUAGGUGGGGUAACGGCUCACCUAGGCGACGAUCCCUAGCUGGUCUGAGAGGAUGACCGGCCACCCUGGAACUGAGACACGGUCCAGACGCCUACGGGAGGCAGCAGUGGGGAAUAUUGCACAAUGGGCGCAAGCCUGAUGCAGCCAUGCCGCGUGUAUGAAGAAGGCCUUCGGGUUGUAAAGUACUUUCAGCGGGGAGGAACGGAGUAAAGUUAAUACCUUUGCUCAUUGACGUUACCCGCAGAAGAAGCACCGGCUAACUCCGUG
rnacentral:rRNA from 1 species